rnacentral:rRNA from 1 species
GACGAACGCUGGCGGCGUGCUUAACACAUGCAAGUCGAACGGAAAGGCCCUGCUUUUGUGGGGUGCUCGAGUGGCGAACGGGUGAGUAACACGUGAGUAACCUGCCCUUGACUUUGGGAUAACUUCAGGAAACUGGGGCUAAUACCGGAUAGGAGCUCCUGCUGCAUGGUGGGGGUUGGAAAGUUUCGGCGGUUGGGGAUGGACUCGCGGCUUAUCAGCUUGUUGGUGGGGUAGUGGCUUACCAAGGCUUUGACGGGUAGCCGGCCUGAGAGGGUGACCGGCCACAUGGGGACUGAGAUACGGCCCAGACUCCUACGGGAGGCAGCAGUGGGGAAUAUUGCACAAUGGGCGGAAGCCUGAUGCAGCAACGCCGGGUGCGGGAUGACGGCCUUCGGGUUGUAAACCGCUUUCGCCUGUGACGAAGCGUGAGUGACGGUAAUGGGUAAAGAAGCACCGGCUAACUACGUG